rnacentral:rRNA from 1 species
UACGAAGGGGGCUAGCGUUGCUCGGAAUUACUGGGCGUAAAGGGCGCGUAGGCGGCGUGGUAAGUCACUUGUGAAAUCUCUGAGCUUAACUCAGAACGGUCAAGUGAUACUGCUGUGCUAGAGUGCGGAAGGGGCAAUCGGAAUUCUUGGUGUAGCGGUGAAAUGCGUAGAUAUCAAGAGGAACACCUGAGGUGAAGACGGGUUGCUGGGCCGACACUGACGCUGAUGCGCGAAAGCCAGGGGAGCAAACGGG